UACGGAGGGUGCAAGCGUUAUCCGGAUUCACUGGGUUUAAAGGGUGCGUAGGCGGGCAGGUAAGUCAGUGGUGAAAUCUCCGGGCUUAACCCGGAAACUGCCGUUGAUACUAUCUGUCUUGAAUAUCGUGGAGGUAAGCGGAAUAUGUCAUGUAGCGGUGAAAUGCUUAGAUAUGACAUAGAACACCGAUUGCGAGGGCAGCUUACUAAGCAAAUAUUGACGCUGAGGCACGAAAGCGUGGGGAUCAAACAGG
rnacentral:rRNA from 1 species